rnacentral:rRNA from 1 species
GGGACACGUGGUAUCCUGUCUGAAUAUGGGGGGACCAUCCUCCAAGGCUAAAUACUCCUGACUGACCGAUAGUGAACCAGUACCGUGAGGGAAAGGCGAAAAGAACCCCGGCGAGGGGAGUGAAAAAGAACCUGAAACCGUGUACGUACAAGCAGUGGGAGCCUCUUUUAUGGGGUGACUGCGUACCUUUUGUAUAAUGGGUCAGCGACUUAUAUUCUGUAGCAAGGUUAACCGAAUAGGGGAGCCGAAGGGAAACCGAGUCUUAACUGGGCGUUAAGUUGCAGGGUAUAGACCCGAAACCCGGUGAUCUAGCCAUGGGCAGGUUGAAGGUUGGGUAACACUAACUGGAGGACCGAACCGACUAAUGUUGAAAAAUUAGCGGAUGACUUGUGGCUGGGGGUGAAAGGCCAAUCAAACCGGGAGAUAGCUGGUUCUCCCCGAAAGCUAUUUAGGUAGCGCCUCGUGAAUUCAUCUCCGGGGGUAGAGCACUGUUUCGGCAAGGGGGUCAUCCCGACUUACCAACCCGAUGCAAACUGCGAAUACCGGAGAAUGUUAUCACGGGAGACACACGGCGGGUGCUAACGUCCGUCGUGAAGAGGGAAACAACCCAGACCGCCAGCUAAGGUCCCAAAGUCAUGGUUAAGUGGGAAACGAUGUGGGAAGGCCCAGACAGCCAGGAUGUUGGCUUAGAAGCAGCCAUCAUUUAAAGAAAGCGUAAUAGCUCACUGGUCGAGUCGGCCUGCGCGGAAGAUGUAACGGGGCUAAACCAUGCACCGAAGCUGCGGCAGCGACACUAUGUGUUGUUGGGUAGGGGAGCGUUCUGUAAGCCUGUGAAGGUGUGCUGUGAGGCAUGCUGGAGGUAUCAGAAGUGCGAAUGCUGACAUAAGUAACGAUAAAGCGGGUGAAAAGCCCGCUCGCCGGAAGACCAAGGGUUCCUGUCCAACGUUAAUCGGGGCAGGGUGAGUCGACCCCUAAGGCGAGGCCGAAAGGCGUAGUCGAUGGGAAACAGGUUAAUAUUCCUGUACUUGGUGUUACUGCGAAGGGGGGACGGAGAAGGCUAUGUUGGCCGGGCGACGGUUGUCCCGGUUUAAGCGUGUAGGCUGG